GACGAACGCUGGCGGCGUGCUUAACACAUGCAAGUCGAACGGUGAAGCGCCUUACUUUUUGGUGGGUGUGGAUGAGUGGCGAACGGGUGAGUAACACGUGAGUAACCUGCCCCCUUCUUCUGGAUAACCGCAUGAAAGUGUGGCUAAUACGGGAUAUUCUGGGUCUGUCGCAUGAUGGGUCUGGGAAAGAUAUUGUUUCGGUGGGGGAUGGGCUCGCGGCCUAUCAGCUUGUUGGUGGGGUGAUGGCCUACCAAGGCGGUGACGGGUAGCCGGCCUGAGAGGGUGGACGGUCACACUGGGGCUGAGACACGGCGCAGACUCCUACGGGAGGCAGCAGGGAGGAAUAUUGCACAAUGGGCGCAAGGCUGAUGCAGCGACGCCGCGAGAGGGAUGGAGGCCUUCGGGUUGUGAACCUCUUUCGCCAGUGAAGCAGGCCUGCCUAGUUUGUGGGUGGGUUGACGGUAGCUGGAGAAGAAGCGCCGGCUAACUACGUG
rnacentral:rRNA from 1 species